GACGAACGCUGGCGGCGCGCUUAACACAUGCAAGUCGAACGGAAAGGCCUGCUUUCCCUUGUGGAUUGCGGGUACUCGCGUGGCGAACGGGUGAGUAACACGUGAGUGAUCUGCCCCCAACUUGGGUAUAAGCCUGGGCAACUGGGUCUAAUUCCCGAUAGGACUGCAGGGUGGUGCCUGUGGUUGAAAACGAUUUUCUUGUGGUUGGGGAUGAGCUCGCGGCCUAUCAGCUUGUUGGUGGGGUAAUGGCCUACCAAGGCGGCGACGGGUAGCCGGCCUGGGAGGGUGGACGGCCACAGUGGGACGGAGAUACGGCCCAGAAUCCUACGGGAGGCAGCAGUGGGGAAUAAGGCACAAGGAGCGGAAGCCUGAUGCAGCGACGCCGCGUGGGGGAUGACGGCCGUCGGGUUGUAAACUCCUUUCGACCGCGAGGAAGCCACCUGGUUGGAAGGGUGGUGACGGUAGUGGGAGAAGAAGCACCGGCUAACUACGUG
rnacentral:rRNA from 1 species